rnacentral:tRNA from 1 species
UGCGAGGGUGGCGGAAUGGCAGACGCGCUAGACUUAGGAUCUAGUGGGAUUUCCCGUGUGGGUUCAAAUCCCACCCCUCGCACCAA